AUUGAACGCUGGCGGCAGGCCUAACACAUGCAAGUCGAGCGGGGUGAUGGUGCUUGCACUAUCACUUAGCGGCGGACGGGUGAGUAAUGCUUAGGAAUCUGCCUAUUAGUGGGGGACAACAUCUCGAAAGGGAUGCUAAUACCGCAUACGUCCUACGGGAGAAAGCAGGGGAUCACUUGUGACCUUGCGCUAAUAGAUGAGCCUAAGUCGGAUUAGCUAGUUGGUGGGGUAAAGGCCUACCAAGGCGACGAUCUGUAGCGGGUCUGAGAGGAUGAUCCGCCACACUGGGACUGAGACACGGCCCAGACUCCUACGGGAGGCAGCAGUGGGGAAUAUUGGACAAUGGGGGGAACCCUGAUCCAGCCAUGCCGCGUGUGUGAAGAAGGCCUUAUGGUUGUAAAGCACUUUAAGCGAGGAGGAGGCUCUUUUGGUUAAUACCCAAGAUGUGUGGACAUUACUCGCAGAAUAAGCACCGGCUAACUCUGUGCCAGCCGCCGCGGUAA
rnacentral:rRNA from 1 species